ACAGCCUUGUUCAGUUACCAAAAAAAUCUAUGUUCUUGGUGGGUGAAACUUCCCAAGCCUAUUUGCCUAAGAAACCCCCUACCACUACUUGCAGCCCAUACUUUAUUUAACCAGGAGUUGGAUUUCCUUGUUCCAAUCUUUGUCUUGUCUUCUCUUCUUUCAACCACUUGGCCUGCCUUCUCCACUUCUCCUCUCCAAUCUCCUUGUAGGUGGCAGACACCAAAUUGCUGCCAUCUGUGUCUGGCCACACUUCUUACAUUCAAAGUCCUUCUGCAGGAGGGCAAACAGAAUGAUGGGUGUUCAAGUCCAAGACCCAGAUUACUCAGAAUUUGUGGAGGUUGAUCCUACAGGGAGAUAUGGCAGGUUCAAUGAUAUCCUUGGCAAGGGUGCUUCAAAGACUGUGUAUGUUCACUCUCACCUGUUGCACCACCCAAGCUCUGAUUCCUUCUGAUCCAUGGAGUUCUGCUCAUCUUGGGUGAAGCUCCAUGAUUUCCUGCAGAGCCCUGAGAACCUGGACAGACUUUAUUGUGAAAUCCAUCUUCUCAAGACUUUGAAGCACAAGAACAUUAUGAAGUUUUAUACCUAUUGGGUUGACACCUCUGAGAGGAACAUCAAUUUUGUCACUGAGCUGUUCACCUCUGGCACUCUUAGGCAGUAUAGGCAACAGCAUAGAAGGGUCAAUAUUAGGGCAGUGAAGCAUUGGUGUAGGCAGGUUCUUAAUGGCCUUCUCUACCUCCACAGUCAUGAACCCCCUAUCAUCCACAGGGACCUCAAGUGUGACAACAUCUUCAUUAAUGGGAACCAAGGCGAGGUCAAGAUCGGUGACCUUGGCCAUGCUGCUAUGCUCUGGAAAUCACAUGCUGUCCAUUGUGUUGGCACACCAGAAUUCAUGGCUCCAGAGGUGUAUGAGGAGGAAUACAAUGAAUUAGUGGACAUCUACUCAUUUGGGAUGUGUGUCUUGGAAAUGGUCACCUUUGAAUACCCAUACAAUGAAUGCACCCACCCGGUGCAGAUAUACAAGAAAGUUAUCUCUGGGAUCAAACCCAAAGCUUUGUACAGAGUUAAGGAUCCUGAGGUCAGGCAAUUUGUUGAAAAAUGCCUUGCCACAGCAUCUGAAAGGCUUUCCGCUAGGGAGCUGCUUAAGGAUCCUUUUCUACAAGUUGAUGAUCUUGGUUCGAGCUAUGACGAAGGAAACAUCAGCAGUAUCGACUGUAUUUUGGGGCAACCCUCCCUUGGUCUCAUCCAAAGUAAUGUUUCCUUUAUCACCAAUGAGUUUUCAAAGAGUUUGCACCCUGAAACAGAGUUGCAGAAUGGCUGGGACUACGAUGUGACAAAAAUGGAAGCGCUUGGAAUGGACCUACUCAAUAGUCACGAAGAUGAGCAUCCUGCUAUUAUGGACAUUACUAUCAAGGGAAGCAGAAGGGAAGAUGGGAACAUCUUCCUGAGGCUAAGGAUUUCAGACAAAGAUGGCCAUGUACGAAACAUAUAUUUCCUCUUUGACAUUGAAGCUGAUACUUCAUUGAGCGUUGCCAUGGAGAUGGUAGCAGAGUUGGCUAUCCUGGAUUAUGAUGUGACUAGAAUAGCAGAUAUGAUUGAUAGAGAGGUAGCUUCACUGGUACUGGAGAGGAAGCCAGGUCCAAGAUUAGAAGGAACUCCAGGGGUUCCUGCAGCUACUUUCUGCCAGAAUUGUGCCUCCAAUGUUUUAUCAUGUGGUUCACUUCUAGACUCUCUCUCACUGAGAAAUCCAUGCUGCAGUAACAUGAAAUCAGUUCACUGUUGCCAACUUGAGGGUGCUGAAAUGCCUGGUCAAUGUGAAGAGCUAAUGUACCCGGUUGAGGGAUCCGAGCUUCGUAUGACUGGGAGACCACCUAUGCUAUCGACAGGCCAAGGCUUAAUCACUCCAACAAUGAAUGUAAAUGAUUAGAACCUAUUGUAGGGGGAUGAAGAGGUUCUACAAUUUGAUGACUGCAAAAGAAGUGUGUGAGAAAUCUCUAGUUAAGUCAAUCUCGGAAUCUCACCAGUAACAGUCUCUUGAAUUACCAGAGGGGAGUUACCAGUUCACUACACCCAAAAAAUUAAUCAAUGGCUAUUAAAAUGAGAUCAGUCAUGACAAGGCAAGGUGCUAGAUUGAGCUACAAGAACAGAUCAACCAACAGAUGACAGUAUCCAAAAGAAUGCUGCAUCCAACCCCAGACUCUACCAAUAUAGAAAGAAUAGUGGAGUCCUCCCUUUCAGGCAAUCAUAACUCCUUCCAUAUACAUCAAAGUGAUACAAACUGUGCCUCUAUGCUUAAGAUGGCUCCUGCUGAUGUAAAUUCUGGGUAGCAGCGGAGAAACUGAACACUGCAGGUGGCCCCUGAGAUAAUGUUCACAAGAAGGAACUUCUAUGCUGGAGCCAUUGCGCCACGUGCUCUUACUAGAACCAAGUCCUUCCUGUUGAUAAUUAACAUCGGAGAAGCCUUUUUACAAAUACACUGGCAGUCUGAAUAUCAUCUCUCCACCUGCUUUCUUGUACAGCAAUAGUGAGAUGCACUGAAAUGUAUCGUUGUUCGCAUAUUCUUUCGCUGUUUCAUUCAGAGAUGAUGAGAUCAUGAGUUGGAGUGAAGAUUUCAGGAAGGAAAAAUCUAUUGGGUUGAAGUUUUGAGUUGCCUACAUGGUUUACUUGCACUUUUCCUCCUUCCAAUUUAUGACUUGGUCAGGUAUCAGUUAAUGUAGAAGAAGAUUGUUUUUCUUUCUAGCAGUAUUCUCUUUUCUAAUAGCAUCAAUCCUACCAGCUUUCCCCUCAAGUCUAAUUCUUUCAAAAGAUUUGAUUGCAGGCUAUCUUUUUAUUCAUGAGGUACCUCACAUAAAACUCUGUGAGAUCAGAUGAGCAAAAGCAACAUGAAUGAAAUGAUAUAAUAUGUGAGCUGCCAGAUUUCAUGGGACAAAAAAGAUUUAUAUGCUGAAGAUCCAAAACAAAAGCUUCUUACAGCAAAAAAUGCAGUCUAUGAAACUGAGUAAAACAUACACCUAACUAUUACUGGCUUUAGCAAGAAAUUAUCAAACUGUCUGCAUAUGGUAUAGAAACCAAGAAUCAAAUGUUAGUAUAUAGCAAGUCCUCAACAUCAUGGCAGCUCAGAAACCAGAUCAAAUCUUUUCCAGAAUGGCUGGUAAACAGCACACUGGAGUCAGACAGACAGACAUAUAUAUAUAUAUAUAUAUAUAUAUAGUAAGAUCUUUGGUCCAAGACAUAUUUUGGAUACCUAGACUUGUCUUCGUUGAUCAAGGAGGAUCAUGACAACCCUUAAUUGAGUAGAAUUCUUGGUUUGAAAUAAAUUAAGGAGUUCUAAAAUCUGUUGAUCUGAGAGGCAUUAUAGGGCUAAUAAGGACUUGAUAAAUAUACUAGUAAUAAGGUGAGCUUAAACAUUUUGAAUUAGUGUAUAAUUUCAACAAAAUUAAUAUGUCAGUUAUUUCAUUCGAUCAUUCUCUAAUAGGAAAGGACAAUUAGAUAUGACAUCACAAAGGAGGAUGGUUCAAACUAGUAUGUAUAGGAUUGUCCAAGGUGUCUUUAAGAUAGAAACUUCAAGCUUUCGAGGUGCUUUCGGGAUGAAAACUGAGUUUAUGAGAGAAUUUUCAACUCGGUCCCUGUAUUACCCAAGUUAAUAACCUGAAAUGUAUGAGUUGAGUCGUCAAAAGAAGUAAGCCUCUGCUCAUCAUGUUGAAGACGAGUUAUUAUACCUAAUCACAAAGUGAUAGAAUAUUUUAUAGAAUAUUUUAUGGGGGAGAUAACCUCUAAUCACCUCCAAUGAUCCCCUUUUGACCUCUUGUCCACGUGCGCAACACGAGAGGGGACAUGAACUAUUUGCCUUAGACAUGUUUUGAAAUCUUAUCCACGCGGGCAAAUGGGUGAAAGAUGAUUUGAAACUUUUCUCUCUACUAAGGACACACAUUGGUUGGACGAGAAGUUUUAUGACCUCCCCAUCUCUUCGGGACCUCUACGUACGAAGGUAAGGGUUGGUCUUUUCAACCUUCACACCUUAGAUAGAGACAGGGAUUAGUCCUCUUAACCUCCACACCUCACAUAUCUUGGAAGUACCUUAGAUAAGUUUAUACCUAUAGAUUCGGAUCAUGUCGGAUUGGUAAAUACGAUCAACCAUAUAUAUUUUUUUCCUAGUAGCGGUAUUCUAAAGACCACCAUUCCCAUGACAGGACAAAGAGGGAUGAUGUGCAGAGAACCAGCUCCGUCAAAAGGUAUCUCAUGUGCUCUGUUCUUGGGUCUUUUCUAAUAGCCAAGGAUUCAGCAGAAUAUUACAGUCAGUCUGUCAAAUCUCUGGAUUCUUGAGGAGCUCCUGCAGGGAGGACCUCAAUGGGAUUGCCGCUAGUUUGGCAGUUAUGCUUCUACGGUACUUUAAAGAACAUGUAGUAGCUGCAAACAAGAAAGAAAUCAAUCAAUCAAUCAAUCAAUCUAUCUAACAAUGGUGGUUGCUCCAUACAGAUGAGAGACAGCUCAAAAUAUGGGUCAUGCAACUGUCAUGCCAGCUAAAAGUAUUGCACCAACUUGUGGACAGCCCCUUCUCCUCAAGCAAAGAAAAGAAAACCCUACAGCUUGUGAAUCCAUGGUAGAAGAAGGAAGCCAGCCUGUGCAGUCCAAAACUAUACACAGCCUUCCCUUAUAAAAAGCUCUCCUUCUUCCACAACCAUAACUGCAUUCCCACCAUCUCCUUCUCUACUUUUCCCUCCUUCCGUUAGUAGCAGCAAUGGAGGCAGCUCUCAAGCUCAGGCUCUUUGCCGUCGCCAUGAUCGCAGUCGUGAUGGCCUCUUCCUUAGUGGAGAAGGCCGCCGCGGCCGAGGCUCCCGCCCCCAGCCCCACCUCCGGCACAGCAACCUCGUCGUUCUCGGCCACUGCUGCUGCUGCUGCUGCUUUGUUCACCCUCACCUUCGGCUAUCUUUUCUGCUGAGCGACAUGUUCUUCGAAUCCUCUGUAUUGUAGCUUCAUUCUUCAUUCCUCUGUUGCCAUGGGUGGAUCUUGUGUGUGUAAUGGAUGGAGGGGAAGAGGAUAAUGCAUGUAUGACGAUAGUAAAUGGUGGGUUUGUAUCAUUUCCAUGGUGUUUAUAAUGAUAUGAUUUGUGUUUUAGCAAAUUUCCUAAAAUAAUCAAGUUUUUAUUUUGUUUUUCACAUAGCACCCCUGCUUUAUUUUGACAAAGUAUUUUUUUAAUUUUUUUAAAAUAAGAUUACCCUUGUGGUCCUCAUUAUCGCCUCCGUCAUCCUUCAUCAAGCAAAGGCAAAGAAAGCCCCUCCCUACUUCCUUGCCUUCUUGGUUGUCGAAAUCUUCUUUUUCACUCCCGUCAUUCCUCGAUCUAACAACAAGAAGCCCUCCUCCCUCUUUCUUUGUUCCCCUAAUGUAAAAGUUGAGUGGUGAUACUAGAACUCUCUUUUAACAUAGUUACUUAAUUUUUUCAUACAGUGGAAGGGGGAGAAAUUAAAACCAAAGAACUUCUAGUUAUUGAGAACGUCGAAGGAGACGACAAGAGAAGAGUCGCUAAGGUGAGAUACUUUUAGAAGUGAGCUAUGAAUGUUAUGUGAGGCAACCAAUGAACAUAUGAAGGGGGUAGGCCUCUCGGUCAAAACUAGACUAAGGGUCCAAGGGGUAAUAUGCCUUGCAGAGAUGACAUACUUUGUGAUGGGACUCGGGUGACUAGUUAAGUGAUGAUGUGAUUAGAUAAUUUUAUUCUUAUCACUUAACGUUCAUAAUUCAGGGGCAAUGGUGACGACGAGGAGAUAAGAGCCACGAUUGAAAGAGAGACGAUGGAGCUAAGGAUAAAGGGCUAUAAGGGUAAUCUUAUCUUCAAUGUCAUACUCAAAUAUGACACAUAUUUUUAGGAUAGAACUCUGAAUUAAAGGUUCUAAGAUUGAGGUUGGCAUUUCUAUUCAUCCAAAUCAUCUUGAGAGAAUUGGUAAUGAUAAGCUUGAGUGUUUAGGAAUCAAUGCUCAAAUUAAAAUGAAUUAUGUUUAAUUACACCUUUUCCAAGUUGUUGAAAAUGAAUUAUGAAUUAUUCCCUAUGUUUAAGAAUGAGUGGGAAGAAUUGGUGGGUUAAGAGACCAGGAGCGGGUCGGAUCCAAUCGGAUCUGGGAUGUGGAUCCGAGUCAAUAACGCCAACCCGCAGGGGAGUGACGAUGGUAUUACCGUAAAUUCUGUGAAUCCAAGGAUGCUAAUGUGUCGUAUCACCGUCUGUAAGGAGAGCCGGGAAUUAGGGUUCUGCCAACGCUGCAUCCGAGGUACGUGCGUGCCUGCUCACCCUUGUCGAUCCUCGUUUGUCAUCUCCAAACUCGAUCUUUUCGUUAUCUGACUACGAGUAAGUCUUGCUUCGGUCUCCAUAGUUCGCGCUCUCAGCUGACGGUUUAGGCUUCUUCCGGAGGCGGUCCUUGAGAGCAUGGAUACUCAAGCUAAGCUUGCAGUCGUCGUCAAGGUGAUGGGUCGUACCGGAUCCAGAGGUCAAGUGACUUAGGUCAGGGUCAAGUUCUUGGAUGAUCAAAAUCGUCUCAUCAUGAGGAACGUGAAAGGUCCAGUAAGGGAAGGUGAUAUCCUCACUCUCCUCGAGUCCGAAAGGGAAGCGAGGAGAUUGCGCUGAUCGUAUUCCCUCGGUGAAUCCUGCAUGGAUGUGCACAUGAACAUGAUGCAGUUUUGUGGUAGAUUAGUUAUUUGCCCUAUUAUGGCACUUUGGUGUGGUGUGCGAUACCAUUGCUAGCUUGACCAAAUGCCACAACUAUCACUUUUAUUGAACUCUUGGAAUCAUUUUGUUUGGUGCUUAUUAAGUUGAAAAUGUGGUACUUGUGUCUGA